rnacentral:rRNA from 1 species
AACGAACGCUGGCGGCAUGCCUAACACAUGCAAGUCGAACGAGACCUUCGGGUCUAGUGGCGCACGGGGGCGUAAAGCGUGGGAACCUGCCCUUAGGUUCGGAAUAACUCCCCGAAAGGGGUGCUAAUACCGGAUAAUGUCUUCGGACCAAAGAUUUAUCGCCUUUGGAUGGGCCCGCGUUGGAUUAGCUAGUUGGUAGGGUAAAAGCCUACCAAGGCGACGAUCCAUAGCUGGUCUGAGAGGAUGAUCCGCCACACUGGGGCUGAGACACGGCCCAGACUCCUACGGGAGGCAGCAGUGGGUAAUACUGGACACUGGGCGAAAGCCUGAUCCAGCAAUGCCGCGUGAGUGAUGAAGUCCUUAGGGUUGUACAGCUCUUUUACCCGGGACGAUAAUGACAGUACCUGGAGAAUAAGCUCCGGCUAACUCCGUG